GCCUGUCAUCCCGGCCAGGUCCACCACCUGUCCUGGCCCGUGCUGCCGCUCCCCCAGCCAAGGAAGCUCAUGCCUGGGUACUCUGGGCAGCAGCCCAGCCUUUCACAUCCAGGUCCAGGGCCAGGAGACAGGGGCCAACAGCUGGCGGUGUGCAGAAGGAGCCUGGAGGCUUCCACAGCAGAUGAAUCACCACGGAUUAAUAUUUAACUCCAGACUCCUGCUUCCCUCCAGCAUCUCUGCUUCCUCCCCCUCUCUCUAUACCACCUUCCUUCUCCCUCCAUCCAUCAGUCCAUCCCACAGUCCUGCAGAUGCUCUGCCUAAUGACCAGCUGGCUGUGGAGUGGAUGUUCAUUGUGUAAAGGAGUGCAGUCCCUGUAGUGAGAUGGCCAUUUUCAGCGGGUCCGUCCUCUGCUGCUUCAUCCAGCAUGACGUCCAGAACGGAGCAUCAGGAAGUGCAGUUUGAGUUGUCACGACAACCUGCUUGCUCGCCUCAUGGCUGCCCUCCAAGCGCAGACAAAGCUGUCGUGGAAUGAACCAGGCGUGUGUCCACUGGACCUGAGGGGUGCCGCCACCGCCAACAAAACACACAAAGACCCGGGGCCCUGGCACCGGCCCUGGCACCGGCCCUGGCACCGGCCCUCACCCCGUCUACCCGCCAUCCCGCUUCACACCGCCGCCCGCUGCUUUGUGGCCGCUCCAAGCAGAGGAAGUUCCUCUCAUCUGCUUU